AUUCGCUCUGUCUAGUGUUGUCGUAUGUUCUGCAAGUUGCUGCAUUACCUGUUCUGGAUUUUGGAUGUACCAGUUUCCUGUACCCAGCUUGGCGGCCUGUGAUCGGUUGUCCCUUGUGGCCUUGUCCUGGGGCAACACAUACAUCACCUCUGAAUCCAUUGCAGUGGAAUGUCUCCAUUAGGGGGGGAAAAGGCUCCAAGCUAGCUUCAUAGUCACAAGUUCAUCAGAGCAAUUUCCUGGAGUCUUGAAUACAGGCAGGAAAUGAGAAGGGGAUGAUUUAAUUCAACAGUUCUUAGGUAUGUAGAUGUGAGGCACUUCACUAAAACAAAGGAAUUGUAGUGGAGA